rnacentral:rRNA from 1 species
GAAUUGCGAUAAGUAAUGUGAAUUGCAGAUUUUCAGUGAAUCAUCGAAUCUUUGAACGCACCUUGCGCACUUUGGUAUUCCAAAGUGCAUGCCUGUUUGAGUGUCAUUUCUUUUAUCAACUCCCUUAUCUUUAUCGAUAAUCGAGCUUGGACUUGGAAGUUGCUGGCGUCCAUUAACCAUGUCAGCUCUUCUCAAUUGCAUUAGCAAUCGCUUACAGUGCAAGUCAACUCCUUGACACACCAAUUAGCCUUUGACAUGGUAAUCAUAAUCCCAUCUGUCAUAGUGAAUUUUUGGUAUUGCUCAUCAUUAGCAUUGCUUCUAAUCCUAAUCCUAGCACUUAGUUACUAGUUGGCUCUAAUCAUCAGCUGACGAACACAAGUACUACUUUCCUUAUCACUUGACCUCAAAUCAGGUAGGACUACCCGCUGAACUUAA